CAUUGUGUCCACAUUAGGUUACAUCUAUGUGACCAUGUGCCCACGUUAGGUUGUGACCAUGUGCCCACGUUAGGUUACAUCUAUGUGACCAUGUGCCCACGUUAGGUUGUGACCAUGUGCCCACGUUAGGUUACAUCUAUGUGACCAUGUGCCCACGUUAGGUUACAUCUAUAUGACCAUGUGUCCACAUCAAGAACAACUGUCAAAAAAUGAAAGAUACAUAUUAGACACAUAACGUUAAAUGAUUAUGACACACAUUGUCUCUUCUCCAUUUAAAUAGUUCCAAUACAUCACUCUUCAGUCUUUCUGUUUCUCUCCUGUACCUGAUCAACUCUCUCCAGUGUUUCUGUUGCUUGUUGAUUACCAUUGGCAUUAAACAGACCACCAACUGCUGCAUUA